CCACCUCCCGACUUCUCAUGGUCCUACAAGAAUUCAUUAAAGUAACCACCACAAAUCUAUGGGAUGUUGUCCAAGCUAAAUUUCUGAAUCAUUCCCCUCCAAAAGUCCACAUUCUUAGCCCGGUAAAAGGUUCCAUAAACUCUUGUGAAUCGAAACACACACUGAAAGUCAACACAGCUGCAAAUAGCAUCAAUAAAGAUUUUCAAAGACUCCAUUACUUCUACUUUCAACGAAUCAUCCCACCAGAGACUCAAAUCAC
rnacentral:lncRNA from 1 species